rnacentral:rRNA from 1 species
AGUAGGAGCCCUUCGAGGGUGACUGCGUACCUUUUGUAUAAUGGGUCAGCGACUUAUAUUUUGUAGCGAGGUUAACCGAUUAGGGUAGCCGUAGGGAAACCGAGUCUUAACUGGGCGUAUAGUUGCAAGGUAUAGACCCGAAACCCGGUGAUCUAGCCAUGGGCAGGUUGAAGGUUGAGUAACAUCAACUGGAGGACCGAACCCACUAACGUUGAAAAGUUAGGGGAUGACCUGUGGCUAGGAGUGAAAGGCUAAUCAAACCGGGAGAUAGCUGGUUCUCCCCGAAAUCUAUUUAGGUAGAGCCUCGGACGAAUACUUACGGGGGUAGAGCACUGUUAAGGCUAGGGGGUCAUCCCGACUUACCAACCCUUUGCAAACUCCGAAUACCGUAAAGUACUAUCCGGGAGACACACGGCGGGUGCUAACGUCCGUCGUGAAGAGGGAAACAACCCAGACCGCCAGCUAAGGUCCCAAAGUCAUAGUUAAGUGGGAAACGAUGUGGAAAGGCCCAGACAGCCAGGAGGUUGGCUUAGAAGCAGCCAUCCUUUAAAGAAAGCGUAAUAGCUCACUGGUCGAGUCGGUCUGCGCGGAAGAUGUAACGGGGCUAAACUAUGCACCGAAGCUGCGGAUUCAAACUUUGUUUGAGUGGUAGGGGAGCGUUCUGUAAGCCGUUGAAGGUGAACCGGGAGGUUUGCUGGAGGUAUCAGAAGUGCGAAUGCUGACAUGAGUAACGAUAAUGCGGGUGAAAAACCCGCACGCCGGAAGACCAAGGGUUCCUAUCCCAUGUUAAUCAGGGUAGGGUAAGUCGACCCCUAAGGCGAGGCCGAAAGGCGUAGUCGAUGGGAAACGGGUUAAUAUUCCCGUACUUGGUAUAAUUGCGAUGGGGGGACGGAGCAGGCUAAACAAGCAUGGCGUUGGUUGUCCAUGUGAAAGUGAGUAGGUUGAGAGUUUAGGAAAAUCCGGACUCUUAAGACUGAGACACGAGACGAGCACCCAAGGGUGUGAAGUUGUUGAUGCCAUACUUCCAGGAAAAGCCUCUAAGCUUCAGAUUAUACCGAAUCGUACCCCAAACCGACACAGGUGGUCAGGUAGAGAAUACUAAGGCGCUUGAGAGAACUCGGGUGAAGGAACUAGGCAAAAUUGUACCGUAACUUCGGGAGAAGGUACGCUCCUAUCUGUGAUGAGACUUGCUCUCUAAGCGGACGGGAGCCGCAGUGACCAG